UGUUACGCUAGUAUCCUUAAAAGUUCCGUUGUUCAUCAAAAGUCUUAACAAUUACACAGAUUAUGAAUUUUGUCAUUUUUGUCUUCCAAGUAACAUGCAUAAGAAAAACGUCUAACAGGAAGAAUUUUGGUAGUCUCGGCUCUAAAAGCUGUCUUUCCUGUCAGCAAUCAGAAACACUACUGCCUACACCCUAAUUUGAAGUUAUCAGAUGUCAAGAUCCUCUCAAAAAUUGCCUUGGCAUUCAAAAUGUCUUUUCCAAGUCAUAAUCUUGCAAUAAGAACAAAAAGUUGUUUGGGAUCUUCGUCACUACCAUUCACUGGAUAUGAUCUAAUAACACAGAAAAGAAUCACGUUCCUUUGAAAGUGCAGUUGAGGAUUCUUCACAUGAAUAAUCAUUUAUGAAAACGUCAUGCCAAUUUAUUUAAAAAGAAUGAUAUCACUGUAAAGUCAAUGCUCUGUAGCCAGUGAAAUCGACACAAUGACGGACAGAAUUUUCAAAUGGUCUGAUAGAGUAUCUAGGGUAUAUGAAUGUGGGAGGGAUAAGUCACAUAAAAUGAUAGAAGCAUUUCUCUUGGUAUGCUUGAAAACAUUGUUUUGAUAGUGAUACUGAGAACUGCUUUUAAGCACAGCAAUGAGGAAUAUUAAACCAA